GAGACAAGUUGUGACAGGUCUACCUAUGGCUCAGUUCAUGAAUUUGCAGAGCGCUUAGCUGAACAAUGCAGCGCACUCACACGUGUGAGUAGCUCGCUAAUUUGGAUGUGCCCCUAAUGACCUCGUGGUGCCUCCAGCUGAGCAAAAAGCACAGGAGAAGCUGGCUGGGAUGGGGCUUCCUAAGUUAGAUAAGAAUAGUAGCGGAAGGAAAGCAAAUGAGCAAAUGGAGCUAAGGGAAGGUACACAAAUUGUACUAGUAAACUUUGGACCUGUGUUCGAGGCAUCUGGUGGUGAACAACCUCAUCUUUCAGGUGGUCACCUGUGGCCCUGUGAGUUGUCUCUGGCCAGGUCCAGGACCAGAUAAUUCAUGAGAAGAGAGAUGCGUUUAACUUCUGUCCAUUUUCUUCUGGUGCGCUCUGAAGUGGAAGGAAGGUUGGCUCCGACUUGUCUGCUCAGUGCCUUGAAUGGGUAAAUGAAGAGAGCUCUCCAUCCCUGCGGAAUAUGGAGGGGCCUGCUAUGCCCAGGCUAUUAAUAUUCAUAGCCGUCUUGACCAGUGGGGAUUGAAUUCAUGGAACUAGCUGGAAUCAGAGUGGGUUUGUUUUUCAAUUUUUUUAAUGAAGGAGAUGGAGCUUUAAUUGUUAUUAUGUAUAAAUCCCUUUUGUUCCUCUUUGUGAGGGAGUGGGUUAUUUUUAUUGUCUUUCACUAGUAAGAGUUACUUGCUUAAGAAGCUUUCAAAAUAUUAACCAGUCGCUGAAGGUUCUUUGAAGAAAAAUAUGACUGCUCGUGUAAACAAUUAAUGGUUGUUAAGCAUGGCAGUGUAUAUUAUGACAAACAACACAUGCUACAUUAUGCCAGCUGGUGUAAUGAUGUGAUAAUGUCUGACUCAUUAACUCUGGCACACAGUUUACGAUGCCCUUCUAUGACAGGAUUAAUUGAUUCACACAUACAUUAAAACAAAAAUAACUAAACUGAAAUUCAGCUGGAAGCCUGGCUUCUCAUUUGUCAUCAGCCCUGUUGGUGGCUGAAGCCAACCCAGGCCCAGUGCAGGGUGAGCUGAGGUUCGUCCACGAACCUUUGUUUUGUCCAACUGGAUUGGCAUCUUGAAAGGAGGAAAGAAGUUGUGUGAGCAGUGGUUUGACUCAAGGAUUGCUGCAAGAGAUUCUUGUGCUUCUGGAAUUGUUUGAGUCAAUUACAGAUGGGGAAAAUCUCAAAGAAUUUAUAAGAAGUUUUUCAAUGAAUCUUAGAAUCACAAAGGUUGGAAAGACCAGCGAGGUGAUCAUCUAGUCCAACUGUCAACCCAUUCCCAGCAUGCCUGCUAAUUUUUGCUUAAGUGAGGACUUGAAUGCUCAGCCCAUGUUUGUUGUCCUUAUAGAACAAGA
rnacentral:lncRNA from 1 species